rnacentral:rRNA from 1 species
GGAUUAGAUACCCUGGUAGUCCACGCCGUAAACGAUGAUUACUAGGUGUUCGGUCUGUAUGGACUGAGUGCCCAAGCGAAAGCGAUAAGUAAUCCACCUGGGGAGUACGUUGGCAACAAUGAAACUCAAAGGAAUUGACGGGGGCCCGCACAAGCGGUGGAGCAUGUGGUUUAAUUCGAUGAUACGCGAGGAACCUUACCUGGGCUAUAAUGCCUCUGCCAUCCGGUGAAAGCUGGAGUUCCUUCGGGACAGAGUGCAAGGUGCUGCAUGGUUGUCGUCAGCUCGUGUUG